GACGAACGCUGGCGGCGUGCUUAACACAUGCAAGUCGAACGGAAAGGCCCUGCUUUUGUGGGGUGCUCGAGUCGCGAACGGGUGAGUAACACGUGAGUAACCUGCCCUUGACUUUGGGAUAACUUCAGGAAACUAGGGCUAAUACCGGAUAGGAGCUCCUGCUGCAUGGUGGGGGUUGGAAAGUUUCGGCGGUUGGGGAUGGACUCGCGGCUUAUCAGCUUGUUGGUGGGGUAGUGGCUUACCAAGGCUUUGACGGGUAGCCGGCCUGAGAGGGUGACCGGCCACAUUGGGACUGAGAUACGGCCCAGACUCCUACGGGAGGCAGCAGUGGGGAAUAUUGCACAAUGGGCGGAAGCCUGAUGCAGCAACGCCGCGUGCGGGAUGACGGCCUUCGGGUUGUGAACCGCUUUCGCCUGUGACGAAGCGUGAGUGACGGUAAUGGGUAAAGAAGCACCGGCUAACUACGUG
rnacentral:rRNA from 1 species